GGGUGAGUAAUGCCUAGGAAUCUGCCUGGUAGUGGGGGACAACGUUUCGAAAGGAACGCUAAUACCGCAUACGUCCUACGGGAGAAAGCAGGGGACCUUCGGGCCUUGCGCUAUCAGAUGAGCCUAGGUCGGAUUAGCUAGUUGGUGAGGUAAUGGCUCACCAAGGCGACGAUCCGUAACUGGUCUGAGAGGAUGAUCAGUCACACUGGAACUGAGACACGGUCCAG
rnacentral:rRNA from 1 species